CCCUAGCCCGGAUAGUAGCGGAAAUCCUUUUCGCUUCGCAUGAGAUUCCUCCUUACGUCGGAAUUUAAAAAGCGAAAAGAUUACUUCACUUAACUUUUAUUUUC
rnacentral:sRNA from 1 species